GCCUCGUUGGCGCAGUAGGCAGCGUGUCAGUCUCAUCAUCUGAAUAUCGUGAGUUCGAGCCUCACACGGGGCA
rfam:Danio rerio unplaced genomic contig NA400, GRCz11 reference primary assembly.